CUGACCGAGCAACGCCGCGUGAGUGAAGAAGGUUUUCGGAUCGUAAAGCUCUGUUGUAAGUCAAGAACGUGUGUGAGAGUGGAAAGUUCACACAGUGACGGUAGCUUACCAGAAAGGGACGGCUAACUACGUGCCAGCAGCCGCGGUAAUACGUAGGUCCCGAGCGUUGUCCGGAUUUAUUGGGCGUAAGGGGAGCGCAGGCGGUCAGGAAAGUCUGGAGUAAAAGGCUAUGGCUCAACCAUAGUGUGCUCUGGAAACUGUCUGACUUGAGUGCAGAAGGGGAGAGUGGAAUUCCAUGUGUAGCGGUGAAAUGCGUAGAUAUAUGGAGGAACACCAGUGGCGAAAGCGGCUCUCUGGUCUGUCACUGACGCUGAGGCUCGAAAGCGUGGGUAGCGAACAGGAUUAGAUACCCUGGUAGUCCACGCCGUAAACGAUGAGUGCUAGGUGUUAGGCCCUUUCCGGGGCUUAGUGCCGGAGCUAACGCAAUAAGCACUCCGCCUGGGGAGUACGACCGCAAGGUUGAAACUCAAAGGAAUUGACGGGGGCCCGCACAAGCGGUGGAGCAUGUGGUUUAAUUCGAAGCAACGCGAAGAAACCUUACCAGGUCUUAACAUCC
rnacentral:rRNA from 1 species